rnacentral:lncRNA from 1 species
AUGGGGGGGGGGGCUUUCCUCCUCUCCCAGAACUGGAAGGAAAGAGCCUGCACUGGCAAACACGCUGAGCAGCCAGACCUACUUACAGCCACCGAGCGUCAGAAGGCCCAUCUCCUGGGGAAUGGAAAAGUGCCCAGCCGCUGGGAGGCCUCAAGCUGGAGAGCUACGGGGGAAGCAGGGCAGGUGUGGGGCUGGGAGAAGCUACUAAGCCCCACACCCCAGGUGCUCUGGGGCCUCGCAGCCCAGCUGCAGGGAGAUGGAACACUGUGA